UGCGGGUUGCGGGCCAAGCUGAGAUCAUGAGCUGGCGCGGCCCCACUUCAGACGUUAGUUGGGACCUGGUAUUCACUAUUCAGGGGCAGUGUGGACAAGGAUGAUCCGCGGAAAAUCCGCAGGUAUCCUUGGUCAUAAAAGGGCUCAAUCCAGGCCAUUCGAUCGAGAUAUACCACUUUAUCACUUAGCGGACACGUAACGUGACAUCAUAGGGAUCACCUGGGAAUACCAUGGACU
rnacentral:lncRNA from 1 species